rnacentral:rRNA from 1 species
AGAGUUUGAUCCUGGCUCAGGACGAACGCUGGCGGCGCGCCUAACACAUGCAAGUCGAACGAGCGAGAGAGAGCUUGCUUUCUCGAGCGAGUGGCGAACGGGUGAGUAACGCGUGAGGAACCUGCCUCAAAGAGGGGGACAACAGUUGGAAACGACUGCUAAUACCGCAUAAGCCCACGGGUCGGCAUCGACCAGAGGGAAAAGGAGCAAUCCGCUUUGAGAUGGCCUCGCGUCCGAUUAGCUAGUUGGUGAGGUAAUGGCCCACCAAGGCGACGAUCGGUAGCCGGACUGAGAGGUUGAACGGCCACAUUGGGACUGAGACACGGCCCAGACUCCUACGGGAGGCAGCAGUGGGGAAUAUUGCACAAUGGGGGAAACCCUGAUGCAGCGACGCCGCGUGGAGGAAGAAGGUCUUCGGAUUGUAAACUCCUGUUGUUGGGGAAGAUAAUGACGGUACCCAACAAGGAAGUGACGGCUAACUACGUGCCAGCAGCCGCGGUAAAACGUAGGUCACAAGCGUUGUCCGGAAUUACUGGGUGUAAAGGGAGCGCAGGCGGGAAGACAAGUUGGAAGUGAAAUCUAUGGGCUCAACCCAUAAACUGCCUUCAAAACUGUUUUUCUUGAGUAGUGCAGAGGUAGGCGGAAUUCCCGGUGUAGCGGUGGAAUGCGUAGAUAUCGGGAGGAACACCAGUGGCGAAGGCGGCCUACUGGGCACCAACUGACGCUGAGGCUCGAAAGUGUGGGUAGCAAACAGGAUUAGAUACCCUGGUAGUCCACACCGUAAACGAUGAUUACUAGGUGUUGGAGGAUUGACCCCUUCAGUGCCGCAGUUAACACAAUAAGUAAUCCACCUGGGGAGUACGACCGCAAGGUUGAAACUCAAAGGAAUUGACGGGGGCCCGCACAAGCAGUGGAGUAUGUGGUUUAAUUCGACGCAACGCGAAGAACCUUACCAAGUCUUGACAUCCCUUGACAGACAUAGAAAUAUGUAAUCUCUUCGGAGCAAGGAGACAGGUGGUGCAUGGUUGUCGUCAGCUCGUGUCGUGAGAUGUUGGGUUAAGUCCCGCAACGAGCGCAACCCUUAUGGUCAGUUACUACGCAAGAGGACUCUGGCCAGACUGCCGUUGACAAAACGGAGGAAGGUGGGGAUGACGUCAAAUCAUCAUGCCCUUUAUGACUUGGGCUACACACGUACUACAAUGGCGUU